GAGUAUCAUGCCCUUACGGGUAGAUCUCCACCCUUGAAUAACAUACCUUUGUUGCUUUGGCAGGACGCACUCGUGCCAGGGGCUUCGGCUCUUGAGUGCCUGCCAGAGGACCACAACUCUUGUUUUUAGUGAUGUCUGAGUAAACUUAAUUAAUAAAUUAAAACUUUUAACAACGGAUCUCUUGGUUCU
rnacentral:misc_RNA from 1 species